UUUGAAAGGCCGGGAGUGGACUAUGAUUAAUCAUUAUUUACAGGCGCUAAUUGAGUGACUCAACUGCCUUUUCAUUUGCUACCUAGUGGUCCAGGAUAAGUAGGCUCUUUUUGUGUUAAUUGGAAUUACCCAGAAACUUCUGAAAAUAAUGAGACAGGUGCUUUAAAGAUGGAAUGACAAGUCCAUUAGAAGAAAUGACAAGUCCUUUCAUUUCACAUAUGCAUUUUCCCAGGUAAAAUUUCCUAUUUUCUCUGGUUCCAUUCCAUGGUUUGUUAUUGAGUGACUCAACUGCCUUUUCAUUUGCUUCCUAGUGGUCCAGGAUAAGUAGGCUCCUUUUGUGUUAAUUGGAAUUACCCAGAAACUUCUGAAAAUAAUGAGACAGAUGCUUUAAAGAUGGAAUGACAAGUCCAUUAGAAGAAAUGACUAGUCCUUUCAUUUCACAUAUGCAUUUUCCCAGGUAAAAUUUCCUAUUUUCUCUGGUUCCAUUCCAU
rnacentral:lncRNA from 1 species